rnacentral:misc_RNA from 1 species
GAUGAAGAACGCAGGCGAAAUGCGAUAAGUAAUGUGAAUUGCAGAAUUCAGUGAAUCAUCGAAUCUUUGAACGCACAUUGCGCCCCCUGGUAUUCCGGGGGGCAUGCCUGUCCGAGCGUCAUUACAACCCUCAAGCUCAGCUUGGUGUUGGGCCCCGCCGCCCCGGCGGGCCCUAAAGUCAGUGGCGGUGCCGUCCGGCUCCGAGCGUAGUAAUUCUUCUCGCUCUGGAGGUCCGGUCGUGUGCUCGCCAGCAACCCCCAAUUUUUUUCAGGUUGACCUCGGAUCAGGUAGGGAUACCCGCUGAACUUAAGCAUAUCAAUAAGCGGAGGA